rnacentral:rRNA from 1 species
GACGAACGCUGGCGGCGUGCCUAAUACAUGCAAGUGGGACGCAAGGAACCACACUGUGCUUGCACACCGUGUUUUCUUGAGUCGCGAACGGGUGAGUAACGCGUAGGUAACCUGCCUAUUAGCGGGGGAUAACUAUUGGAAACGAUAGCUAAUACCGCAUAAUAUUAAUUAUUGCAUGAUAAUUGAUUGAAAGAUGCAAGCGCAUCACUAGUAGAUGGACCUGCGUUGUAUUAGCUAGUUGGUAAGGUAAGAGCUUACCAAGGCGACGAUACAUAGCCGACCGGAGAGGGUGAUCGGCCACACUGGGACUGAGACACGGCCCAGACUGCUACGGGAGGCAGCAGGAGUGAAUCUUCGGCAAGGGACGAAAGUCUGACCGAGCAACGCCGCGUGAGUGAAGAAGGUUUUCGGAUCGUAAAGCUCUGUUGUAAGUCAAGAACGUGUGUGAGAGUGGAAAGUUCACACAGUGACGGUAGCUUACCAGAAAGGGACGGCUAACUACGUG